rnacentral:lncRNA from 1 species
UUUUGUAAUGACCCAAAAUUCACGGGCAUCGAAAAAGUAUAAUAUCGGGCCUCCGUCUUAGUAAAUUGAGUCCGAAAAUAAUUAUUAGAAAUAUUUACGAGACUAGUUGUGUGUUUAAUUAAGUUUUAGAUAGAUGAAUUUAAUCUAAUUAAGAAUAAUUAGGAAAAAGGAUUAAAUUGAAUAAAGGGUAAAUGUUUAAUUAUAGAUCAAAAGAAAAUAAGAGGGACCAAAUGGGCAAUUAAGCCACAUUUGGAGGUUGAGGCG